rnacentral:lncRNA from 1 species
GCGGCCUGAAGCGCCAGCGCCGGGGAGCAGCCCCCCUCUCUCCGAGGGAGCCGCGCGGCCGGCGGCCGGCCCGGCCGAGGCGGGAGCGCGGCCCUUUGGCGAUGCUGCGGCCGGCCGGCUGCUCGGUGUCGGGCUCCUCCGCCAGCGUCGAGCUGGAGUCGCGCGCCGGCCCGCUGUGGGGUCGGGCGUCCGAGGCCCAGCCGGCCCGAGAAGUAGGCUCGGUCCGAGCUGGACGCUGCAGGUUCUGACCUCGAAACGGGGGCCUGAGUCCUUCAAGAGCCUGGGGGCGAAGAGACGAGAAGGCGGCUGCAUUUUGCUGAAUGGUGGUGGUGUUUGGGGUUUUUUAAAAUCCUUUCUCCCCCAUUUUCCUUUUUACACUUUUUUUCUUUAAAAAAGAUUUUUUUUGGUCUUUGCUCUUUUAUUCGUUGGGGGAGUGAAUGCUGUCAGUGGCGAAGUAAAAUUAGGAAGGGGCCCUUGCCCGGCUGGCGCCUUCUCUGCGCGCUGACCUGCGGGCGAGGCUUGGGGCAGAGCUCGGCGGAGGGCGGAGGCCGCAAGUGGAGGGCCAUGCAGAUUGGAUCAAACCAGAAAUAAGGCUCUCUGUCCAGAAAAAGCCUUCACUGAAAGAAAUAACGUGCUUAAGGAAGGAACGUAUAAGUCAGGAAUUGAGCCAAGAAAAGCCUGCGAAGUAAAUAUUUGGCAGGGUCCCAGUCUGAAGGGGAAAGUCUCCCGAGCAGUUCUGGAGGCCAGAAUCUGAAAUCAAAGUGUCAACAGGGCUAUGCUCCCAGAAGCUUUAGGAGAGAAUCUGUUCCUUGGCUUUUCCAGUUUCUGGUGUGUGCUGGCAUUCCUGGGCUUGAAGGCACAAUCAGUUCAUCUUCAAUUGCCUUCUCUGGGGUCACACCCAUGGCCUUUAGAAGUUCCCCUGAGGCUAGGGGUCUAAUCAGAGAUACAGCUGUCGGCCUACACCACAGCCACAGCAACACAGGAUCUGAGCCUCGUCUGUGACCUACUGCACAGCUCACGGCAACGCCAGAUCCUUAACCCACUGAGCGAGACCAGGGAUCGAACCGGCAACUUCAUGGUUCCUAGUGGGAUUUGUUUCCACUGCUCCACAACUGGAACUCCAGAAAACAAAUUUUAAGGGCCACAGUGGCGUCCAUGUUGAGAACCCUGUACAGAGCAAGGAUAAACAUCGCAAGGCUGUAGGAAGCUCCUGCAGAGAUCAGGGCAGAGCUGAUGGUGCCUCCGACCAGGAUGACAGCAGUGGAGUUAUCAGUUGGAUGCCGAAUAAGCUUUCGUUUUGUUUUGUUUUGCGUUUGGUUUGGUUGGGGUUUUUUUGUUUGUUUUUUAGGGCUGCACCUGUGACAUAUGGAGGUUCUCAUGCUAGGGCUUGAAUCAGAGCUGCAGCUGGCCAUAACCACAGCAACAUGGGAUCUGAGCCACAUCUGUGACCUAUAGACGGCAACACCAGAUCUUUAACCCACUGAACGAGGCCAGGCAUCGAACCUGCAUCCUCAUGGAUACUGGUUGGGUUCCUUACUGCCAAGCCACAGUGGGAACUCCUGAAUAAGUUUUGAAGAUACAGCCACUGUGAUUGUUAUGAGACAUGAUGGAGGCAGUGAAUCAAAAAUAAUUCCAAAGUGUUUAUCUGAGCAAGUGAAAACAUGAAAAUGUUAUCAACUGAGGUGGGGGAGGCUAGAGGUGGAGUAGGUUUGGGGAAGUUAUGGUCUUGUUGAGUUUGAGAUUCCUAUUAAAUACCUGUGAGAUAUUCAAGUUGAGAUGUGGAGCAGACAGGUAUACAAGUCUGGAGAGAUGCCUAGUCUUGGUCUAUAAAUUUGAGACAUGUAAUUUGCAGGGCCCAGUGCAACAUGAAAAGGAGAGCCCCUUGUUAAACUAUUAAGAAUUUUCAAGAUUGCGACAGCAGAGCAUUAACAAAGUAUGGGGUUCUCCUUAGGGAGACGUGCGUUGUGCACCCAUGAAACUGACCUUGUUUGGGAGUCAUGGACAUAUGCAUGAUAUUUAAAGCCAUGAGAUUGGAUGAGAUCAUCAAAGGAAUAAGAUCAUCAAAGGAUGGAGAAGAGGACCAGAUAGAAUACAUUUAUAUUUCAAAAAGCAAAGGAAAUUCUGCAAAGGACUCUUCUGCCACAUCCAGACCCGGCUUAUCCAGUCUAUCAUCUUCAGUGACGUCUCUGCCAGUUAUCCUGAAUCGUCAGAUAAAUUCUUCUCUGUGGACAUUUGAAGCACGAGGAGGAAUGCAUGAUUAACUUUUAGAGAUGAGCAGUCUAGAAUACACGAACUGUAGAUUAUUAUGUCUAAAAUAUCUUUUUCUGAAGAGCAGAGGCUGUGGUCAUCGGGAUGAACAAAACUGACUACUUCUGCACGGUUGCCAAUGGAAACCAGAUAACUGGACUCUGACUGAAGCAGACAUGCCACCUUACGUCUUCCAUGAGAAGGACCGUAGGUUUCUGGCACAGUCCAAGUGUCCAGAGGAUUGUCAACACUCGUAUCAAUGGGCCCGUAGCUCCUGGAUUCCAGGGAGCUUUUCAAAUUGUGUAGAUUUCAAAGCAAUAAGUGGAGGUAAACCAAAGCAGACACAGGCCCUCCAACAAGCUUGUCAAGUUUGUCUCAAUGUGGAGAAGCAAAACCAAACUGACAGAUUCUUAACAAUCUGGACCAAUUUUCAAGAUCUCUCUCUUACAGCCAAAGGAAGUUGAAAUUUACACCAAUCCAAGGUUGUUUUGGAGACUAUUUUUGUGGACCAAAUUUACUCAGAAGUUUUAUGAAAACAGCUACACAUUCACUUCCAACUUGAACUAGUGAAGUGCUUUAAAAUCCUUUAAAUCUGAUAAACAAUGAGAUCCUGCUGUCUAGCCUUGGGAACUAUAUCUAGUCACUAUGACGGAACAUGACGGAGGAUCAUGUCAGAAGAUGAAGGGGACCAAUGAGAGUAUUGGGGACUAAAUGAUUCUCCCUCCAAAAUACCUCAUGUGAUGGUAGAAAUAACUGGAUACAGAUGAAAUCAUGGAAAUGGGACCUACAUGCAUAAGAGCAAGAAGAUAGCCAUUGACAAGCAGCAAGAGGGUCCUCACCAGAAGCUGAAUCUACUAGCACCUUGACCUUGGACUUCCUGGCCUACUGAACGCUGAGAAAUAAAAGUCUUAAGUCUGUGGUA